rnacentral:rRNA from 1 species
UACGGAGGGUGCAAGCGUUGUCCGGAAUCACUGGGCGUAAGGGCGCGUAGGCGGCUCAUGAAGGCUGUGGUGAAAGUCCGGGGCUCAACCUCGGAUCGGCCGUGGCGACUCGUGGGCUGGAGCACUGUAGAGGCGGGUGGAAUUCCCGGUGUAGCGGUGAAAUGCGCAGAUAUCAGGAAGAACACCCGUGGCGAAGGCGGCUCUCUGGAACGCAACUGACGCUGAGACGCGAAAGCGUGGGGAGCAAACAGG